UACGAAGGGGGCUAGCGUUGUUCGGAAUCACUGGGCGUAAAGCGCACGUAGGCGGAUGUGUCAGUCAGGGGUGAAAUCCCGGGGCUCAACCUCGGAACUGCCUCUGAUACAGCACAUCUUGAGUCCGGAAGAGGUGGGUGGAAUUCCCCAAGUAGAGGUGAAAUUCGUAGAUAUGGGGAGGAACACCGGUGGCGAAGGCGGCCAUCUGGACGACAACUGACGCUGAGACGCGAAAGCGUGGGUAGCAAACAGG
rnacentral:rRNA from 1 species